CACAGCUUCUGGCAAACUGUAAUUUGGAGUGACGAGACCAAAAUAGAGUUUUAUGGUCACAACCAUAAGUGCUAUGUUUGGAGAGGGGUCAACAAGGCCUAUAGUGAAAAGAAUACCAUCCCCCCUGUGAAGUAUGGUGGUGACUCACUGAUGUUUUGUGGGGGUGUGCGUUUGAAAGGCACAGGGAAUCUUGUGAAAAUUCAUGGCAAGAUGAAUGCAGCAUAUUAUCAGAAAAUACUGGCAGUCAAUAUGCAUUCUUCUGCACAAAGGCUGCGCAUGGGACGCUCUUUGACUUUCCAGCAUGACAAUGACAAUGACAAUAAGCAGAAGGCCAAGUUGACCGUCC